rnacentral:rRNA from 1 species
CCUACGGGAGGCAGCAGUGAGGAAUAUUGGUCAAUGGGCGAGAGCCUGAACCAGCCAAGUCGCGUGAGGGAGUACUGCCCUAUGGGUUGUAAACCUCUUUUGUCGGGGAGCAAAAGCCGGACGUGUCCGGCUGUGAGAGUACCCGAAGAAAAAGCAUCGGCUAACGCCGUGCCAGCAGCCGCGGUAAUACGGAGGAUGCGAGCGUUAUCCGGAUUUAUUGGGGUGAAAGGGUGCGCAGGCGGAUUUUUAAGUCAGCGGUCAAAUCGUGGGGCUCAACCCCAUCCAGCCGUUGAAACUGGGGAUCUAGAGUGUGCGAGAGGUAUGCGGAAUGCGUGGUGUAGCGGUGAAAUGCAUAGAUAUCACGCAGAACCCCGAUUGCGAAGGCAGCAUACCGGUGCACAACUGACGCUCAGGCACGAAAGCGUGGGUAUCGAACAGGAUUAGAUACCCGGGUAGUC